rnacentral:lncRNA from 1 species
CUUCAUACAACAAUUUGUAAUUGAAGAAUUAUGACAUUAAAAGUGUUGUCCUCUUUAUGAUAGACCUUUUUCUAACAUAUUCUUCUAAUGAUACAUUAUCAAUAGGAAGAUUGUGAGGAUGAGACUACUUAGGUACAUUUACAAGCCAUUAAAGACAAUCUAUGGUUUUGUAGUACCAAGUCCGGAAACUAAAACUUUCGGCUUUUAUUUGUCAAGUGUUGGAUAGCGUUUGCAAAUAUAUUGGUAAACAAAUACAUAACG